GCUUUUUCUUUUUCUUUUUCUCUUUCUUUUUUUUUUUUUUUUAGAUUUAUUUAUUUAUUAUAUGUAAGUACACUGUAGCUGUCUUCAGACACUCCAGAAGAGGGAGUCAGAUCUCGUUACGGAUGGUUGUGAGCCACCAUGUGGUUGCUGGGAUUUGAACUCCGGACCUUCGGAAGAGCAGUCGGGUGCUCUUACCCACUGAGACAUCUCACCAGCCCGACCCAGCUUUUUCUUUGCUCUGUCAAGCACCUGUCUGUCGUCUGUUGUAGGCUGCACACAGAAGGGUCUCUUCCACCCAAGCUAACCGAAGGCAUGGAACAUGUAGGGUCCACAUAGCACCCAAGCCAGAGGCAAGCUUAUUGGAACUUAGCAUACAACAGCCUCAAGAGGCAUGUGAGCCAGACUUCUAAACUAAAAGUCAAAAUUAUAGAAAAAAAUUUGUAAAAAUAGUAUGAGUGUGGUGCCACAGGAAGGUCGAUCUCUGUGAGUUCAAAACCAGCAUGGUCUACAAAGUUAGGUUCAAGCCAGCAGGGCUAUACAGUGAGACCCUAUCUCAAAAUAAUAAGACUAUAAUAUGUUGCAAACUUCUCUAUCAAUAACCUCCAAGACAUUUGAACAUUCUAGCUAAAUUAUGUUCACAACGGCUCCCAGUGUAUUAUCAGCAUUACCCAAAUCUAUGUAGUCAUUCUCUCCCCCCCCCCCCCAAUAGGGUUCCACUGUAUAGCUCUAGCUAGCCUAGAACUCACUAUGAAAAGCACCCUGAACUCACAGACACCUGCUGACCUCUGCUUUGAUGCUUUGAGUGCUGAGAGUAGAGGAAUGAGUCACAAGGCCUCAGCAUCAUCUGCAUUAAAGAGCAGAGAAAACACAAACCCAACAGAAGACCCAAGAGUGACUGAGUGGUAUGGACUUUAAAUUCAUGAGCGGAGAAGGGCAUGGGACACUGAACUGGGUACUCUCUGAGGCUCCUUUUAGCAACUAAACCUUGAAAUUCAAGUAUAAAAUACAGAGCCUGAGCAAACACUGUCUGCUUUGUUGGUUUUAAGAUGAGACAAAAGCAAAAUUCAAAACCAUGACAUUUGCACAAAAGGUGAGCUGGAGAUCACUGUGCUAAGUGAAUAAACUGGACUCAAAGACCAAUGUCUCUCUUAUGUGGGCUUUGGAUUUAAGGGGCAGGGAGUAGAAAGGGGACUGAGGGGGAGGAAGCCAUCUUAAGUGGGAAGGGAAUACAAGGGGUAAUGGCACAUGUGAGCUGGGGAUGUCUGGGGAGCAGGGGAGAGCACCAGGAAGUGGGGCUCAAUGAUAACAAAGUAAAAGGACACCUGUAUACGCAAAUGCUGUGAUGGAAAUCAUCUUUAUAAACUGACUUUACAAGCCAAGUUCACACCUAAAGGCAUGAUACUUAAGGUCUCUAUCAAGGAAAGUUUUUUCCAAACAACUUUUUGAUAUAAUUUUAGAAAGAGAAGGAAGAAGUAGGUAGAAGAACUUUCUAAUGUAUCUAGUACCACCUCUUGCUUUGAAAAUAACUACUGUCAUCCUGUAGGAGUUGGCAUCUUCCAGCAGUACCCAGAAGGCCCCAAGCACAAAGAACAUAGGGCAGUGUCCACCCUAGAGAAUGCAGGUCACCUCUCCUAGGCCUGGGAGUCCCUGCUCUUGACUGUGUAAGUACUCUGCAUCUCAGCUGAGGAAAGAGACUGUGUAGCGAGGGUGGUGUUGAAAAGCAAACCCCUGUAGGUACUCAAUGUUGGUGUCUUUCUACUGUACACUGCUCCAACAACAGUCAGUUGUCUAAGGGCGUGGAGUGUGACCACCAAGAGCUGUUACCCAGUGCUGGGGGGUGUUGGGGGUGGAGCAAGUGCCCGCCACUGAGGCUGGGCCAUUCAUCCAGAUUCACCCAGACUAUGAAGCCAGGCUUCGCCAGAGAUCCAGUGUGUUCCUCUUGUGCAGAGCCCACCCCGGCGGGCCAAGGAAACUGCUUUUGCAUGCCUAAGUUGGUUUUAAAUUUUUUAACUUUAAAAAAACUACUGAAAAAAAAAACCCUUUAUAAAUCAGCUGACUUUCCAAGCACUCAAAUCUAGAUAUAUUACAAGAUAUAGCUAUAUUAUAAGACAACCCUGCUGCCUGAGAGCCAUCACACCUAUGCCUGCAAUCUCUACUUGCCAGCGUAAGACAAAGCACAGACAGGCCCUGCCCUGCAGCUGUCAAGGCAGUGGAUUAAGAAAUAUUGUCUUCCUGGGCUCGGUGGCAAGCCUUCAAUCCCAGCAGAAGCAGGCAGAUCUCGAGUUCGAGGCCAGCCUGCUCUAUAGAGUGAGUUCCAGGACAGCCAGGCUGUUUACCCAGGGAAACCCUACCUGAAAAAAAACUACAAAAAAAAAAAAAAAAAAAAAAAAAAAAAACCUAUGGAAAAAAAAAAAAAGAGGAAGAAAGGAAACCAAAGAGAGCAGAGCCGCCCGUGUCCUGCACUGUGGUUCCUAAGCUCUCCGCAGUCACACAAGGCCUCGCCGCACAGCAUCCCAGUAACACGGCCAAGUACUUUUCCCCAAUGCCCAUCAUCACACAAAUACAAUCACAGAAGAGACAGGCCAGACACAGGCUCUCAGCCUGUGGCCUGUACUCCCUGAUCCAACAGGCUCCACCGCCCACUACAGGUCUGAGCCAGGCUCAGGAGCGAAUGCUGCAGUUCAGUUCGACACUAGGAGCACUGCAGUGCAGCAGAAAGCAGCUCAGGCUGGCUCAGGGAGGCACGCCCAGUGAUGUAAUCCCCAGACAGGAAGAACCGGGAACAGCCCUGCUGCUUGGGUGAGAUUCCAGCACCCCUAAGAGUAACUUGGGGAAGUCAUUACUAGUUGCUCAGAGAAAUACACCUGGGUCAGUCUUGUAUAUCCAAGUUCCUGAUAAAUACGGAAAUCAAAGUCUGAAUAUGCCCAAACCUCACUUACACAGUAUUAUGCUUGAUAAAUUAUCAAAUAUGCUUUUUGCAGAAGAUCAAGCUUGAUGGCAUACACCUGUAAUCCAUCUCAGCCGUGGGGAGCAAGGGGCAGGAGGAUCACCUCGACUUCCAGUCAGCCCGGUCUACACAGUGAGUCCCAUGGGAGCCAAAGUUAUAGGUCAUCUCUAGAACUGGGUGUGUUUGUGGUAGCUCUCUCCCUUUUUAUCACUCUGUAAAUUAUUAAUCUUAUAAAUAGUAAAAAGAAAGUUGGCUUUCUACUUCGAUAAAAAUGUUUAAAGUUGAAGGAAGGACACUUGAUCAUUCGUUGUUAAUAAUGGGAAGCAGCUCACUUACAGACCCACCUACACGUUCUGUCCGGAUGUCACACUUCACUAAAUCUCAAACCAGUCCGAGCUGGAGAGAUGGAUGGCUCAGUGGGUAAGAGUACUGACUGCUCUUCCAGAGGUCCUGAGUUCAAUUCCCAGCACCCACGUGGUGGCUCACAACCAGCCGUAAUGACUCCCUCUUCUGGAGUGUCUGAAGACAGCUACAGUGUACUUACAUGUAAUAAAUAAAUAAAUAAAUCUUUAAAAUAAAUAAACAAACAAACAAUUUAAACUCUCCGGUCAGUUUCCUGGUGUCUGUAGACUGCUGAUUAAUACAGUUAACAGGGGUGGACAAUUCAAUGGCAGAGCUAGAUGUGCUGUUCCCACCCAGGUCCUGAGCUGCAUGCUGUGCUGGGCCACACUGGCAGACACUGCCCAGCCCGCAGCAACAUCUGAACAUGCACGCUUCCGCAGACAGACCAAUACAUCCCAAACUACUAGUGCAAAUUAGGAGCAACUGCAGUAAGCCCGCGUUGCCCUCACCUGAGGGCAUCUCUUCAAGUGUGCUGACCGGGCAGGAGGAAAGGGGCGAAGCCUGGUCCAUCCCUCCAGCGUCUGCCAACCGGAGCAGGGGAAGGCAUUCAUUCAUUCACCCUACACCCACACCAAAUGACUCCUUACAAGUAUCUAGGUUUUUCUUUCAUCUUCUUUUCCCUUUAAAAUCUAAAACUGACCAACACCGUAUCAUGAUGGUCACCAUCACCACACAGACCCUCUUAUGUGAUAGCUUUAGCUUUAUCCCUUUCUCAUCUCUGGUGCCGCGGACCAUGACUUCCCUGCCACACCUCCCCAUGCUGGCAGUGGGCUAAGAACUCUGGGAAAUACAGGCUUUCUCAACCUGACAGUUUGCAUCCUUUCAGGUGCGUGAAGGAGGCAUUACAUUCCACUUACUUCUCCUAAUGACCUCUUCUCUUCUCUUUCUUUUCUUUCUUUCUUUUUGUUUUUGUUUUUUGUUCUUCUGAGACAGGGUUUCUCUGUAUAGCCCUGGCUGUCCUGGAACUCACUCUGUAGACCAGGCUGGCCUCCAACUCAGAAAUCCACCUGCCUAAGUGCUGGGAUCAAAGGUGUGCACCACCACUGCCCAGCUCUUAUUGAACUUUUCAAUGAACUGAAGUUUGUUGAAAAAGACAGUUACUAAUGCCUAAGGAACUUCGUACUUGGUACUUCUCUUCUGGAGCCAAGGUCUCAUAUAGUCUAGGCUGGCCUCGGGUUCAACCUUGAACUGAUCCUCCCCAGUGCUGGGGUUAUGCACAACCAGGUGCUGGGGAUCAACCCAAAAGCUAUCUAGAUAAGCACCCUGCUAACUCAGAUACAUCGCAGUUCCAAGGACUCAGUACUUUCUCAGUUAAUAUUAAUUUAGAAGAAAAAUAACUGAUAUGAAAUAGAAUAAGCCAAACACUCCUAUCUCUUUUUAAAUUUAACUUUAUGUGUAUGGGUGUUUUGCCUGUAUGCAUCUGUGUACCAUUGUCUGUCUGGUGCCCACAGAGGCUAACAACGGCUAUGAGUCACUGUGGGCAGUGAGUGCUCUUAACCACUGAGCUGUCUUUCCAGCAUCAAUAUUCCCACCUCAGUAAAUGCACUCAAGAACUGCCGAGACUAGCUUCAGAGUUCUUCAAAAAUCCUUUCCAUCAAACCCUGCUCUCAAGAUCAGGGAUCUAUUUGAAAGUGGAGAUGGAAAGAUGGGGGCUGGAGAGCUGGCUCAGUGGGUAAGAGCACUGGCUGCUCUUCCAGAGGUCCUGAGUUCGAUUCCCAGCAACCACAUGGUGGCUCACGACCAUCUGUAAUGAGAUCUGAUGCCAUCUUCUGGUGUGUCUGAAGACAGCUACUGUGUACUUUAAAUACUACAGUGUAUUUAAAUAAAUAAAUCUAAAAAAGAAAGAAAGUGGAGAUGGAAAAAUGUGAGCCAUACGUGGUAGAGACUUGAAGAAAGUUGUCUUCUAGACAAACAGGACUGAUGCACAUGUGCACUCAGAGACCUUGGCAGCACGCAGAGGCUCAAGCCAGAUGCAGUCCCAGCACUGUGAAAGGGAAGUGGACGCAGGCUCCACCCCCAACCAAGGAGCUCUGUGCAAUUAAUACUGACUGGUAAAGUGAAACUCAGUUUUCCCCAAUGAAGUCUCAGUGGGUAAUCAACUACACUUCAGGAUGGGCCUAUGCCUAGAAGCAGUUGGCCAACAAAACAAACUCAAUGGUAUUUUUUGUGGACUUUGUUUUAUUUUACCAUAUUUUGGUAUUUUCUGUCUUAUUAGUCUUUUGUUUUGUGGGAGUUCUGUGUUUGAAAGAGAAAAAAAAACCUAUAUAAAGUUGGAUGGGUAGGAAGAUGGGAGGAUCUGGAGAAACUGGGGGGGGGGGGGAAAAUAUAAUCAAAAUAUAUGGAAAAUGUUUUAAAUAAAAAAAAAUAGAAAAAGAAACAACUAAGUCUUUUUCUUUUUUUUUUUUUUUUUUUUGAGACAGGAUUUCUCUGUGUAGCCCUGGCUGUCCUGGAACUCACUCUGUAGACCAGGCUGGCCUCGAACUCAGAGAUCCGCCUGCCUCUGUCUCCCAAGUGCUGGGAUUAAAGGCGUGGCCACCACAGCCCGGCCCCUGAGUCCUCUUUCUAAGCAGGUUUGAAUGUCCACAUCCCAGCCUCCCUCUUCAGGGUGAAUUGGUUUUCUCCUAGGGGUCUCAGCCCAUUCUUUAAGCAGGGGUGGAUUCAUCCCUCCCUCGAACCCACUGCACCGCACUCUCAUGUGCCUUGCUGUAGACUACCUUGUCCUAUAGAAAUGUAGGCCUACCUGCACACGCACAGCUUGCCAGUGAACCCAGGCUGGCAGAUUCCUGCUAGCAGUGAGGCAUUAUGGGAAUAUUACAGAAAGCUUUUCUUGUUGAUUUACUCAUUAUUUUAUUAACCACUUGAGAUGAUUAGUACAGAAAUGAAUGAGGCUGAGCAUCCAUACUGUGAAAACUGAUUUUAGGUUAGAGAGGCAGAAGUCGUACUUGAAGGCCCUCUAGCCCCAGCACUCUGCAGCACCUCAGGGAUCCUCAGCUGUCCUAAGUUUUUAAAGCCAUCGAUCACUAAAUUUCAUAAUUCCUCUUGAAUAUUAAGACCUUAGAAGAACAACUUUUGAAAGCCCACAGAAACCAUUUUCCUAAGUCUCCCCACAACUGUCUCUAUGAAGCUGGGAACCUAAAAGGCUCUGUGAAAUAUGAAAAUGUGAACCAUUCUUUUACACUCCGGUUCCCAGCCAACUCUGCACUAAGAGCUGACUCCCCUACAUGACCUGCCCUAGAAACGCUGCACUGCCAGGUUAAGGCAGGCACACUAAGAACAGCCACAUCCCAGCAGUGAGCAACAACUCCCAAGUCUAAGGCUGCAGUUUUGGAAGGGAGAGUGCACAUCACACACACACACACACACACACACACACACACACCCCACAUCAUCCCUGCUCUGCACUCACAAAUCUGGAGGACAGCAGUCACAGAGGCAUGAGGGUUCCGUUCCCACAGACACCACCGACCCACCAGGGACAAAGCACAAGAAAACCCGCACAGUAGGAAGAAGUGCUACAAAAACACCUUUACUGGGUAAACCAUCCAGAUCAGGAUCAAACAGCUUUUCAUUUGGAAGAAAACGAUCAAUCUCCCUCAGACUGGGAAUUUCAGAAAGGAGAUAGGUGGAAAGCUGUCACUCACUUGCUGACGAUGCUGCACUAUCAAAAGAAGCUGCUAAGUCACCGCUUCAUUUUAUACUAUGAGGAGUUCUGUACUUUAACGCAAAGUUUCUAAGUAGCUGGGGUAGCUUUAAAAAAAGAACUUAUUUUUUAAAAAAUGCUUCUAGGGGCUGGUGAGAUGGCUCAGUGGGUAAGAGCACCCAACUGCUCUUCCGAAGGUCCAGAGUUCAAAUCCCAGCAACCACAUGGUGGCUCACAACCAUCUGUAACGAGAUCUGACUCCUUCUUCUGGAGUGUCUGAAGACAGCUACAGUGUACUUACAUAUAAUAAAUAAAUAAAUCUUUUUUUUUUUUUAAAUGCUUCUAUAUAUUUGGUACAAGUGUUUAGAAAUGUCUUUAAAGUAGAGCAGUGAAGAGAGGCUGGAGACACAGCUUGGCUGGUGAGGUGCUUGCCUGACCUGUGGAAUCCUUCAUGACUUUCCCAGCACCACAGUAAAACACUGACCGUGGCAGUGAAUGCCCUUAGCACUUGGGAGGCAGAGGCAGGAAGAUCAGAAGUUCAAGGCCAUCCCUGGCUACAUACAAGUUUGAGUUCACCUUAGGCUACCCUAGAAUUUGUUUUUUAACAAAAAGAGAGAAAAGGGAGGGAUGGCUAAGAUUAACAACGAAUUUCUCAGUUCAGGAAAUCGGUAUAUACUAAUCACAGUUGGUGGUGUUUAUUCCCCUCUCACUGCAAUCUACUAUUGCCUGUAUAUUGUCAGAAGCCAAUUCGAACUCCUAAGAACUACCUAAACAAAGCCCUCCUGCCAAGGACCCAGAGACUGUAUGGGCCUAGUGCAAAGUUCAGCGUUAGACUGUGUGCUUAGAAACCCCCAGGAGAAAGAGAUUAUUAGAUAAACUGUGAGUUGAGGUCAGCCUGGUCUACAACACUUCAGGCCAUCAUUAGCUACACUGAGAGACUUCUCAAACAAGCAAACAACCAACAACAACAAAAGGGCGUGCAUGUGCAACAUCCGGGACUCAAUCUCCAGCACAGAAGACACACAAGCUAACUCAGAGGAGACCUUAAGGCAUCAACUUGGAUUUAAAAGGAUGAGAUGGGGGGGGGGGUUGCUGUGGGGAGACUGGGAAGAAAUGUAAAUAAAUAAAAUAAUCAAUAAAAAAAAAUCUUUCCCUUUGCUUCUGUAAGUGAACAAGAAAUUAAUGAUAUGCUAAAUCACUAGGAAUGCAAACAGGAUUUUUAUAAACACAGAAGAGUUAUUUCAGUCUCAGACAGUCAAAUUCCUUAGUCAACUUUCAAAAGUGCAAGUCAUUAUGGAACCUUGCUGGGAUGCUGGAUCAUCCCUUGCUGAAUAGACACUUGUUCCAUUCCACCCUUGAUACAAGACGGACAGAUAUGAGGAGAACAAAUUACUAAUGACAGAGCAAAGAGAAAAACUUGGGGAUUUUUUUUCGUAAAGAGAAAUCAUGACUCAUGGUUUUUGUGUUUUUAUAUUGAAAUCACUAAUUUCAAUACACAAACUGUGCAACAAAGAAUAUAAAAGAAUUAGCUAGGGCCAAACUACUCAAAAUCGUUAAAAACAUAGGUUAAAAAUGUAUUUUAAUAAAAUGUAUUUUCACAUACCCCGCAAAAGAGCAAGUAGGGAUCAAAGGGCUCACAGGGCCCUGCUGGGGCAGGGUUCCAGAUGACUUUCAUUUCAGAUAUGUUUCAAAUUUUCUACAGUUACAUGGUCUUUUGGACAAAAAUAGAUUUCCACGCAGGAAUAAAUACAAACUCCAAUGUAAAGGAAACCAUCUUCAGUCACACUAACACUAGCCAGGCACUAAUAGCAUCCUAAUGCUUUAGACAUUGUGUGUAGAUUGAAGAAAAAUAUUCUGCUAUCUUCUAACUGCAGGCCCAAACCAAGGCUGUGUGAACAUUUUGUAAUUAAGAAUAGCCUUAAAGCGAUACAAACUAUCGAAAGGACAGCCACUCUGGUUUUCUAACGGAACCACACAGCCUUUGGAACUCUAGGGAACUUGCUAGCAAAUAUUCUCAGUCCAUCUUCAAUCCCUAAGGGCUAUUUUACUUUUAAACAGCACAUCUGGGUUCCUAGGGAAAUGCCACACCCAUUCGCCAGCAUGUCAUACAAGUUCCCCAGAUGCUACAAAGUGGUUUUAAAGCCUCAAGAAGGAAGGAGUCCUGCAAGCAAGCCCCCUAUUCCAGAUCAAUCUAGGGAUGUUGUGAGAGUCUCUGCUGGAGGACACAACGGGAACAUGUCAGCUUCUUUGCCUCCUUCCCCAACUAGGUAAGCAACAGUUCUUAAGUCUUUGAAAUCAGACUUAAAUGUCACAGAGCUGUCAUUAGGGUCAUCUAAGCAACAAUUUCAAGCCAUGAUCAGCAAAACAAGCAAUUUGGACUGGAAACUGAUAUGCUGAGUCUAAUCUCAAGGUCCUGUAUUUUAGCUGGUGACCUUGGACCAGCCACGGGACUCAGUUUCCUGGUUUGUAAAACUGGGAGAUACACCCACUCAACAAUGAUGCUGCGAGGCCAAUGGAGGCCUACGCGUAGGCAGCCGCAGACAGCAGAGAUGCUGGGUGACCAGGGCCUGCCCACUCCGGCUCCCGCCAACCCACCGGUCCCCGAGCCCACCCAAGGGCCAGCACCUAGGCUGUCCUAGACACACUCUUCCCAAAGCGAGCUAAGCUUGGAUACGAAUCGAAACCAAAAAAGCUCAUGUGACUCUGGAGGCAGGGAUGCGGCCCUGUGCCCAGCCGGGACCGGGAGACGCUGUCUCCACCCAACUCGGCCAUCUUGAGAAGCCGCGGAGACAAAGCGACCCCACUGUGCGGGCGCUGGCGGUCCGGGCACCCUAGCUGCUCCACGCGACCGGGGAGGGGGCGCCGCGCACCUUUGAGGGUGGAGCGCUCCACCAGGACCGUGUGGACCUGCGGGUCUGACAGGAACUUGCGCAUCUGCUCCAGGGCGCUCUUCUCCUCCAGCGCCGCCUCCAGCGCAGCCGGCGCGUCGCCGCCGUCCUCCAGCAGCAGCGGCACCAGCUUACGCAGGUGCUUCUGCAGCACCGCCACGUCCGCCACAUUCUGCACCGCCGACACCUCCAGGCCGGCCGAGCCGUCCUCGCCGCCGCCCGGCUCCGACAUGGCGGAUCCACGGAAGGGAGAGAGAUAGAAAGAGAGAGAGCGAGAGCCGAGAGGAGCGGCCUCCGGCACGAGAGAGCAGUGAGCGAGGGGAACCGGCGACAGGAGACGCUCUGCCCGCUAACCCGCGGCCGACUGCGGACAGCGGAGCCGGCUCCGCCCUAAAGGCCGCCGCUCCCGCCGGCCCCGCCCCGCCCGCUGGCUGCAGCCACCGGCGCCCGCUCGCGGUCGGCGUCGCGACGUUACGCAUGCGACUGGAGGCGGGGCUAUGUGCGGCGCCGCGUGGCCUUUUGGGACUUGUAGUCGGAGGGCAGGGCGGGACCCAUUACUCUGCGCAAAAGUGGUCCAGGAACCGCGUCUGUCUUCAUUGCCAGGUGGCAGAGAAUAUCACAGAGCCAGCCCCUCAGGCUUCAUAAAUAGUGUUUUAAGGAUGCAUUGACGAGAAUUGACAUUUAGUGAGAGUUCAUCCUCUGCCCGACAUUGCUAUUAAUAACCUGAGUUCUCCCGUUGAAUGAAUGGAGUCUGGAGUCCCAACUGCCCAGUCGUUAUUAGAUACACAUUGGGAAGAUGAGGACGUUUUUUCAGAGGAGAUGAGGGGCAUGCCCACAAUGACUUCGCUAAACUGGAUAGGGAGAGAGUGGAAGGGAGAUGAUUUUAGCUGAGGAACUGGCGUCUGAGGAAGGGAAGGUUAGGUAUGGGUGGAGCAGCAACUGCAGUGCAGUCUAACGGUAGGCUAAAAGAAACCUGGAUAGUAGGAACAUCAAGCUACGAUGGGACCUGGCUUCUGAACACAGUGUCAUUUACCAAGCGAGGGUGAUGUAAGAGAAGGACGCAUGAGUGAAUCCACUGACAACGGUCCCAGAGGCUGCUGAUGGAGGCCCGAAGAUUCUUCUAGAAGCCAGACAGAGAGAGAGACAGAGAGACAGAGAGAGAGAAAACAGAUAAAUAUCCCCAUUCUCCCUCCAUCAGCCCACCCUGGUGUAAUGUGUCAUAAAUAAUCUUGCAGAGGUGAGAGGACAGACCCAAAGCUACUGUGGUGAAUUGCUACUGUGGAAUUGCUGGCGUACUGGCAGUGAUCAAUACUGAAUGUCCACCUGACACUAGGUGCUGUGUUAGUGUUUCCCUCUGCCUAUCCUGCAGAGAUAGGAACAAGGACAAAAGACCGGAGAUUCUGAAACCUGCAGGGACUUAGUGGGUGUGGGGCUGAUUGCACACUGGCUGCACUGUGAGUCAGCACCUGGGAAAUGCAGUCAUUCAGUUAUCCGAGGACUCACUCAUCUGCAACCUGGCUCCACGCCAGGGGACAGAUAGCAGGCUCAGACUUUGGAUUAUUAUCAUUCCAAAGAAGACAGAAAUGAUUUGUUUACAAGGAUUUACAAGUGGAUCAAACCUGUGUGCUUUUUCAAUAAACAUUCUGUUUUUGUUUUUUAAUAUAGUAAGAACAGACCUGCUGCACACAGGCUGCUGAGAUUUCUAAGGGCACCAUCCUAGAGGCUGGCCAGGCUGAGACAGGGCUAACGAGGAAGCUGAGCUUGGCUGAAGAUGCCCUUCUGCUUCGUGGCAUAGGACGCAGCCAAUCUUGGGUGGGGACCCGGCCUUUCUAGUCUCCUGUCUGUGAAAGCAUCUGCUUUCAAGUGUUGAGAGGAGCUGGGAAGAGCAUUUCUUUCCUGAUGAGGGAUGCUGGUGGCGGCUAGAGUACAUACAACUUUGUCAUAAAUUUGUGAUACACUGUGUAGAGGUCUUGCGCAUUCCCAACAUCUCUUUAAAAUACCAUAUGACGUGCUGUUGAGAUACCGUGUCAGGCUCAUUCUCUGUAUUCUGCCCCCUCUCUCAAGCCCUAGAGAGCACACAAUCUCUCAGUGGGACCACUGUCAAACCAGCACCUCCAGGCUGUGUUUCCAAAUACCCCUUCUCUGAAUUCCAUAUUGGACUUUUGUUUUUCAAGGUCUUGUCAUGUAGCCCUGAUUGGCCUGGUACUCAGCAUGUAUGUAGUACAUGCUGACUUCAAACUUGAGCAAUCAUCCUAUCUUGGCCUGUAAUUCCAGCCCUAGAAUUGUGGCGUGUCCUACCAUACCUGGUUCAUGUUGGGGCAUUCACUCAUAAUCAACCCCACAUCUGACAUUGCUCUUAGGCCUGGAGAACACCCAACACUUUCUUAAUGUAUACUUAAUGUAUGCUUCCAGUCCAGGAAUGGGAGGAAGGCGAGCGGCAGGGCACAUACAGGUAAAGAUUUGGAAUUUCUUUGCCAUACUUUCAGACAGACGACAUCAUUUGCGCUACUAGGCACAGCUGGAGGAUCUAGCUGGCAUUUCACCUCACUGCAGGGCACUUUUGAUGAAGCUUGUUCCAGACUCUUAUCCCCUUUCUGUCUUGCUUCGGCAUUAAAUGGGCCUCAUAAGGACUGAACUGGAUCCGGGUUUUGGAGUUGAAGACCAGGGAAGCCUUGCACCAUCAGAACAGGAAAAGUCCAUUUGCGCCCUCUGGUGGUCACGAAUUUCCUCACUUUCAGGGGGCCUUCUUUCUACUCCCCACCUCCCCAUCCAUCUGUGUGGUGCCACCCGGUCAGCUAGCAAAUGCCAGCCUGUGGUUCGGCCCAUAUUCCACCACCCACAGGGAAGAUUUAUGAAGACUUUCUGGGCAGAAAAUUUACCUAAGCCCUAGAUGCGCCUGGUACUGCCUAGCUCCUUCCCUUUUCCCUCUAGUAGAACCAACCACGUCUCUUACCAAAACUGUGCCCCCAGCUAAGUUUCCUGCUUCCUGGGUGCCCAGCCCCCUCUCAUCUUCUGCUUUUCUGAUUCUGUCUCUUUCAUCCAGCCUACUUCUUUAAAAGGGUUGGGGGUGGGAAUCUAUACAGUUGCAGCACUAGACAGGCAGAGGCAGGAACAUGGCAAAUCCUAGGACAGCCUGGGCUACAUAGUAAGACUGUCUGAGAAACAAUCAAGUCAAAACAAAGCAAGGCGAGAGAGAGAGAGAGACAGACAGACAGACAGACAGACUAUGUCACAUCUCUGCAAGCACCACAUUUCUGCUGCUCUUUCCAGCAAACUCCUUGGGAAUAAACACAAUUAGCCCUGUCCUGAACACUUCCAGCUCUCCUGUAGUGGUCUGGAUAUACUUGGCCCAGGGAGGGACAAUAUUAGGGGGUGUGGCAAUGUUGGAAUAGGUGUGGUCAUAUUGGAGGAAGUGUGUCCCUAUGGGGAUGGGCUUUGAGGUCCUAUGCCCAAGCUCCAUGUGGAAGAGAACCUAUUGGCUGCUUGCAGUAGCCAGUCUCCUCCUGGUUGCCUCCAGGAGGAGGCAUGGUCAUGGUGUCUCUUCACAGCAAUGGAAACCCCAAGACACCUACCCAGCCCUUAUGUUCCCAGCAAGAGUGGUCAAUAUCACCAACCCUCUGCGCCUGGACAAAGCCAGUGGCUGGGUUUUGGCCUUCUCUUGCUUGACACGCUGAGAUACUUGGCACAGUCGUCCUCAGCCAGGCUCUGCGGACCCUUUCCUUCCCUCCUCUUAAAGAGGCUGUGGCCCAAGGCUUGGUGUUCAGCUCUCUUUGGUCUUGAACCAGUGACUCUGCAGCCUGAUGUACAGUGCAGCGGUACCUGCUGGCUCCCAACAUCAGAGGGGUAUUGGGGUGUGCUACAGAGGUUGAGUAAGUGUUCUAGAAAAUUCCAGGUUGAUUGGGAGUUUUUUUUUUUUAAUUCUUCUAUAUCUUUCUUCUCCUCCUUGUUCACCCUCCUCCUCCUCCUCCUCCUCCUCCUCCUCCUCUGCUUAUUGUGUUUCAAAGUGAACUCAGCGUAUUGUGCAUUCUUAGCAAGUGCUCAGGACUGUAACCCUGGACUUAUCCCCGACCCUCAUUGAUUGUCUGUUCACUUGCUCUGUUGGUUAUUUUCUUAAGUAUGUCAUGUUUUUAUUGAAAGUGUUAGUCUACUAUCCCAGCAACCAUUUUCAUUUGUAUUGUCAAGCUGCAUGCUCUCUGAGGCACUUAACACAAUUACCUCCUACACCUCAGAGAACACAUCAAUUUUACAUAGUUAGUGUUAAAGGCAAAUAAAUAUCCCGAAGGUUUUGUUAAAUGCUUUCUUUCAAAUAUAAUAUGGGAAUGGCUGAUGCUCUCCAUUUCACAGAAAAGGAAAAUUAAAUAAAAGAUGAAUAUGAAAACUCUGCUUUCCAAAACUUCCCAGUGACCCCAAAUGUAAGAUACAUGAGCAGCUAAGGUUUACUGUGGAAACCUCAAAUUCUCUUUAGAUGACUGAUUGAUGUAGUGCAAUGCUGCUGUUUACUAGUCAUCCAUCAAUAAUCAUCAAUGCAAAUACUGUCCUCAGAAGCCUGCAAGGAUCCCACUUACGAGAACCACCUGCAGGAAGAACUCUUGCUUACACAAACCCAAGGUAGAAAGGAAAUGUAUGCUGGUAUAAUAAGGUUCUAGCUCUGUUGAUUGUUGAGAGAAGAGCACCAUUGCUACAGUCCCUCCCCCUAGAGAGUUUGGUCUGUUUUUAAUUUCUUUUCCCACUGAGGUAAGGAGCCUCCUUUCUCCAAAUCUUUCACCUUUGAGGCUGCUGCUGAGAAGGAUAUUCCCCGUUGUAAACUUUGGCUCCCAUCAGUAAAAAGUCCCAUAUCUGAA